GGGAGUAUAGCUCAAGUGGUAGAGCGUGUGCUUAGUAUGCACAGGGUCCUGAGUUCAAUCCCCAGUAUCUCCU
rnacentral:tRNA from 1 species